AUUGAACGCUGGCGGCAUGCCUUACACAUGCAAGUCGAACGGUAACGGGCCCUCGGGUGCCGACGAGUGGCGAACGGGUGAGUAAUGUAUCGGAACGUACCUUUCAGUGGGGGAUAACGUAGCGAAAGUUACGCUAAUACCGCAUAUUCUGUGCGCAGGAAAGCAGGGGAUCGCAAGACCUUGCGCUGAUUGAGCGGCCGAUAUCAGAUUAGCUAGUUGGUGAGGUAACGGCUCACCAAGGCGACGAUCUGUAGCGGGUCUGAGAGGAUGAUCCGCCACACUGGAACUGAGACACGGUCCAGACUCCUACGAGAGGCAGCAGUGGGGAAUUUUGGACAAUGGGGGCAACCCUGAUCCAGCCAUGCCGCGUGAGUGAAGAAGGCCUUCGGGUUGUCAAGCUCUUUCGGCCGGGAAGAAAUCGUAUCAGCUAAUACCUGGUGCGGAUGACGGUACCGGCAUAAGAAGCACCGGCUAACUACGUGCCAGCCGCCGCGGUAAUAC
rnacentral:rRNA from 1 species